GUAGUCUCCGACAUUAGUUGUGCUUAGUAAACAAUGACACGCACUGCAGGCAAGCAGGAUAAAAGCAGCAUCGGGAAUUGAAGGCAUGUUAGUGGAUCACAGACUGUUACUGAGUGAGCAGCUAGUCUCUACCUUUAGGCCGCCAUGUUCCUACCGACCUUGUUGAUGAUCACGAUGGCGGUCGCUCCAUCCUCCCUCUACCCUCACUACUCAGUAAGCGGUAUUGUCCCUGGUGGUUGCGUGUCCUCUCUUGGGGGGAUAUGCGGCUAUUCCAAUCCCUUUUAUUGUUGCCUUAUGAUGCCCCAACCCAUCCACGGCAUUUACACCCACCGAACUCCCGUUACAACACCACCAACACCACCACCACCACCACCAACAACAACAACAACAACAACAACGACCCGACUGAUAAUAUUACCCAAACCCAUCUGCCCCGUCCAUGCUUGCCACUACCUCUACCAGCCGCACAACUUCUGCUGCCUUAUAAGCCCCGUCACCAAGUAAGGCAGGCAGUGCGAAGGCGUGUGUGAUGAGAUUCCUCAGAUGAAAUUUCUUUCUCAUGCAUUUGAGUCCUAAUUUUAAUGUCUCUUUACCUUUGACAACAAAAACUCAUGUGGCAAAAUGAACAAGUGUGUGUGUGUGUGUGUGUGUGUGUGUGUGUGUGUGUGUGUGUGUGUGUGUGUGUGUGUGUGUGUGUGUGUGUGUGUGUGUGUGUGUGUGUGUGUAAUCUUUGAACCAUGCCUUUACUUUUCUACUCGCUAUUCUUCCUUUUCCUACCUUCCUCUUUCCUUUCUUCCUUCAUUCCUUCCCUGCCUCUCUCGUUUUUGCCCUGUCUGCCUCCCUCCCUUAUUCCUUCUGUGUCUACCUCACUUUCUACCUCUUUACUUCCUACCUGCCUCUCUCCUUGCUAACCUCCAUCCCUACCCUAAUCGACUCUUCCUCGCCUGUCUCCCUCCUCCCAUUACCAGCUACUGCCAUCACGGCGUGACCUCCCCGCACUGCAUAAUGUACGGCUAACGUGCAGGCCACCGGACAUGUGAAG